rnacentral:tRNA from 1 species
GGCCAUGUGGUCUAGUGGUAUGAUUCUCGCUUAGGGUGCGAGAGGUCCCGAUUCGAUCUCCGCAUGGCCC